rnacentral:rRNA from 1 species
GAUGAACGCUGACAGAAUGCUUAACACAUGCAAGUCUUUGGCGAAGCUGUGCUUGCACAGCCUAGCCAAGGCGGACGGGUGAGUAACGCGUAAGGAACUUGCCCUGCAGUCAGGGAUAACAGACGGAAACGACUGAUAAGACCUGGUAAAGUCAGGCGGACUCAUGUCCAGCCUGAUGAAGAGAGAUGCUGCAGGAGAGCCUUGCGUCCUAUUAGCUUGUUGGUGGGGUAACGGCCCACCAAGGCGAUGAUAGGUAGCCGGCCUGAGAGGGUGGACGGCCACAAGGGGUCUGAGAUACGGCCCUUACUCCUACGGGAGGCAGCAGUGGGGAAUAUUGGACAAUGGGGGCAACCCUGAUCCAGCAAUUCUGUGUGCACGAUGAAGGUUUUCGGAUUGUAAAGUGCUUUCAGCAGGGAAGAAAAAAAUGACGGUACCUGCAGAAGAAGCGACGGCUAAAUACGUG